rnacentral:ribozyme from 13 species
AAAAGAAACAAAAGAUAAAAGAGAGAAAGAAAAGGAAGAAGCGGGAGAUCCUGAUUUUUUUCAAAUUGAUCUUUUUUCCGAGAUUCCAACGAGUUGGAAAAAUAUUCCGAGCUCUUCUCUCCUUUCUCAUAACUGGGAUCAUUUAUUGAUUAAAUUUGAG